rnacentral:lncRNA from 1 species
CCCCCCCCCUGGCAGUGUAAGCAUCUUGCCGGUGCUGGAGGUAGGCGAUGUGAGCUUCAUGCUGUGAGACAACGUUCUGUCAUUGUCACCAUCACCAUCAUCACCACUGUCACUAUAGAAUCAUCAUCACCGUCAUUAUCAUCAUCACUGUCACUAUAGAAUCAUCGUCAUCACCAUCACCACCAUCAUUUUCACUACAGAAUCACCAUCGUCAUCAUCACCAUCACUGCUAUUGUAGAAUCAUCACCAUCACCACCAUCAAUGUCAUCAUUAUCAUCAUCACCAUCAUAACCAUCACCACUGUCACUAUACAACCAUUACCAUCAUCAUCACCAACAUCACCAUCAUCAUUGUCACUAUGGAAUCAACAUCGCCAUCAUCAUCACCAUCAUUGUUGUCAUCAUCACCAUCACCAUCACUGCCACUGUAGAAUCAUCACCAUCAUCAUUAUCAUCAUCACCACCAUCAUCACUAUCACCAUCAUUGUUCCUAAAGAAUCAUUGUCAUCAUCACCACAUCACCACAUCAUUGUCACCAUCACUGUCACCAUCACCAUCAUAACUAUCACCAUUGUCACUAUAGAAUCAUCAUCACCAUCAUUAUCACCAUAAUCAUCGUCAUCAUCACUUUCUUCUUCAUUGUCCUAUAGCAUCACCACCACCAUUAUCAUUAUCACCAUCAUUGUCACCAUCACUAUCGUUGUCACCACAGAAUCAUCGCCACCAUCACUGUCACCAUUAUUGGCACUAUAGAAUCACCACCACCACCAUCAUAAUCGCCUCCAUCAUUAUCAUCAUCAUCGUCAUCACCAUAUCAUCGUCACCAUCGUUAUCAUUGUCACUAUAGAAUCAUCAUCGUCAUCUCCAUCACCAUCACUGCUACUACAGAAUCAUCAUCGUAAUCCCCAUCAUCGUCAUCAACGCUGUAGAAUGGCCAACAUCAUCACCAUCAUUGUCACCAUCAUCAUCACCAUUGCCAUCAUCGUCAUCAUCAUCACCAUCAUUAUCAUCAUAACCACCAUCACCAUUAUCAUCACUAUAGAAUCAUCACCUUCAUCACCACCACUGUCACCAUCAUUAUAAUCAAUGCCAUCAUCAUUAAUACCAUCAUUAUCACUACAGAAUCAUCACCACCGUCGUCGUCAUCACCAUCACCAUGACCGCCAUCACCAUCGUCACCAUCAUUAUCACUACAGAAUCAUCACCAUCAUCACCACCGUCCCCAUUAUCGUCAUCACUGCCAUCCUGGUCAUAACCAUAACCAUGACCACGACCAACACCCCGCAGGGAAGGUGGAGCCGAGGCAGUGUGGGGUGAGGGGAAGCAGCACCGCAGAGGGGAGGGCUUCGCAGUGCUGCCGUGCCAAGGGCCGGUUAGAUGAGGAAGGGGACGCGGGGACACAGAGCCGGCAGCCGUGCUCCCACCGAGCAGCUCCGGCUGGCGCUGGCGUUGCCGUGGGGCGCUAUGGGGCACUGCGGGGCGCUGCGCGGUGCCGUCAGCGCCGUGAUCGGGACCCGGAG